AAACGGGGACAGAAAAGCAACACGUUCGUUAAGCUUCGUUUCCCGUUCCCUUCUCUUCUUAACGUUAGCUUUUCACAAUUUUACGCGCUAAUCCUCUCGAAGCCCUAUAAUUGUAAAUAUCCCUCCCACCCUCCCGGGAAAAAAAAAAAAACCCUUUAAAAUCCUAUUGAAGCAGGUAUCUUGGGGAGCAAGUGAGCAUCAUAAUUUGUGUCAUCGCGUCUCAAAAUUCCAAUUCGUUUAAAUUGUUUCUUUCAGUUCAUUGGGAUCCCAUUGUAAUCGCUCUUAGAGUGAUAACAUUAUGCUUCUAGGGUUUUUUCUAGACGAGAACUAGGGUUUUGAUUGGCGAAAAAGAGCAGUUUGCGAUUAUACAUAUUGAACCUUUACUUUAGAGUCUCCUCGGGGAAGAGACGGAGAAAGUUGGAGGACCGUUUGGAGCUUCCGAUUUGAUGGAGGCUGCGGCCGGGAUUGCCGCUGUGCGCGGUGGUUCAUUGCCGAUCCUGUCUUCUCAGUCUGCGAGGAAAGAAUGGCGAGCUGUUUCCGAAAAUUCGGUUCGGAACGCCGGCCAUGAGGACGUGGUGGUUGGACAGGAGUUGGAGUGUUCGAAGUUGGGGCAGUCAGAUGAGAGAACGAUAUAUGAGGUGCAGCAGGGAGCGAGACCCCAUGAAGCUGACUUCUGUUCGAUUACGUUGAACGGAAGCCUCGAUAACGACAUAUUACGGCAACGACUUCUUAGUAUCACUAGACGGAGAGAAGAGCUUCAACAAGUGGAGAUCGAGCUUAAAGCCCAGACUAUAGCUAGAUCGGAGAUAAUGGAGAUGCAGAGUAACUUUGAUGCGCAGAUAAGAGAACAUGCCAAUGCUGCAGCCAAACUGAAGGAACAACUACAAGAAAGGGAACAAACCAUACAUGAAUUGGAAGCAAAGAUGGAAGAGAAGGAAAGAGAGCUGCGUGCAAUUAAAAUUGAUAAUGAAGCGGCCUGGGCUAAAGAGGACCUUCUCAGAGAACAAAACAAAGAGUUGGCGACCAUUCGAAGAGAGCGUGAUAACUCUGAAGUUGAAAGAGCACAGCAUCUCAAACAAAUGCAUGAGCUUAAAGAGCAUAUUCAAGAAAAAGAUAGGCAGCUUCUUGAAUGGGAAGAACAGAAUAGGGUUACACAGGAAGCUAUACUUUAUAAAGAUGAACAAUUAAGGGAGGCCCAAGCUUGGAUUGCACGUGUUCAGGAAAUGGAUGCAUUGCAAUCAACAACCAAUCAUUCCUUACAAGCUGAACUGAGAGAACGUACUGAACAAUUUAACCAGAUUUGGCUUGGUUGUCAAAGACAGUUUGCAGAUAUUGAGCAGAUGCAUUUGCACACCAUACAACAGCUUCAGUUAGAGUUGGCUGAGGCAAGAGAAAGGAGUGGGAUUUAUAACGAUGAGUCACGGAUGGCUCAUCCAGCUGCAGAGGAUGCAUCCCCUUUUGGGCAGAACAAGGGAAACCAACUCAAUGUAAUUGAUGGUGGAACGUUAAAUGGUAACCUUGGAGCUCCACCAAAUGGGAAUGUAGACAAUGUUGCUCCUUUUGUCACAAUUGGAAAUUCAUCUACCAAGAAUGAUCAUGCCUCUGGAGUUCCGGUUGUCCCGUCUUCGCUACUUGGAGUGGAAACCUACCUUCCACCUCCUGGACAGAUGACAGCACUUCACCCUUUUAUUAUGCAUCAACAAGGUGUUCUUCAGUCUGUACCAUCUACCAAUUCACAUGUGCCUCUAUCUAAUGUGAACCAUUUUCUGCCAGUGCCUGCAAUGUCAUCCCACCCACACUGGCAGUAUCAGCAGGCUGUAUCGGAUGGUUCACAUAUGUCAAAUCAGAACCAAUAUCAGCCAUCCCAAACAGAACAGAGUCUUUUGAGGUCUGAUGCCCAUUACGAGUAUGCACUUACUGGAAAUGAUCAAGUUCUCCAUUCGGACUAUCUGGACACUGAUAUCAGCUCAAACCAGGAGCCUGGUUCUGAAAUCACUUCAUCCAGUGAGGAAGCACAGCUUCAUGAAUCAAGUGGUGAAGGCUACUUGAAGACGCAGCAACCACAGAACUCACAAGAAACCUCUGCCCUGUUUCAUGAUGCAUCAAGAUUGGAACCUCCUGAGCAGAAGAAUGAGACCAAGGAUCAAAACAUUGCUGAAGCCAACCAUUCACAUGAUGGUCAGUGUUCAAAUGCAGAACAAUCAUGGUCUGCGAUUCAUACAUCACUGUCUGAUACCCCAAGCCUUCCAGUUAAUUCCAGUGAAACCAGAGACUUCUAUAUGGUUGUGCCUGAAGCUUCUAUCUCUGCUGGACGGGCAUUGAAUGUGUUGACACCAGGAAAGAUUUCUGAACCUAGUCUUCUAGAUGAAAAAUCACUGUUGGUUUGUAUUGUUCGUGCAAUACCUGCUGGAUCUGGUGGCAGAAUUAGAAUUAGUUCCACUCUUCUGAAUAGACUUGGAAAGAUGCUGGCUCCUCUCCAUUGGCAUGAUUACAAGAAAAUAUAUGGAAAGCUUGAUGACUUUGUGGCUGGUCAUCCUGAAUUAUUUGUAAUUGAAGGGGACUUUAUUCUGCUUCGUGAAGGAGCACAAGAAAUCAUUUCAGCUACGGCAGCUGUUGCCAAAGUUGCUGCUGCAGCUGCGGUUUCUGCUCCUUAUUCAUCCUUGUUGCCAUCUGUUGCUGUUACUCCCAUGGCACAGACUCAUCGUUUAAAGAAGGUUCCGUCCAUUGACGCCAAGCCUGUGAAAGUUGUUUCAACAGAAACAACUAUUACAACUCCUGGAGAUGUAUCUGACAAGCUUUCGCAAUAUUCAGCUAUGCAAAAUCAGCAUUCAAAUGGUGUCUGUUUUAACAUUGUUCAAGGUCUCUCAAAUGUAAAAAUUUUGAGCAAACCUAAAGAUGUUCAGGAAUCAAAUGGCUUUCAAUCUGGUAUUAGGGCUGGCCAUUCUUCAGUGCAUUCGUCUGUUGGAAAUGGAGCAAAUCCUGACAGAACAGGUUUAGCUAGCUUUCCAAACAAAGGAUCAAGUAAUGGGAGACAUGGCACAAAUUUUGAAGGGAAACAACAGGGAAGAGCAAUGUCUGGUGCCUUAACAUCUAGAAGAUAGUAAGUAUUCUCAUUCUUUCCAUGUGCCCAACUUCAAAAGAAAUAUUUAAGGAACCAAGUUUGAUGUUGUGAAGACAAUAUUUAUAAUUAUAAUGGAGCUGAAUCAUCCAGUGCCUGCUUAGAUUGGUGGAAGUACAAGUAUUUGUUGUUUUCUCAAGUUGAUGUUUCUGGCUCUACUAUAAUCUCCUCAUUUUGGGAUGGCCUGCUGGGUAAUUGUUUAUCAUUAUUCUUAGAUUAAUUCUUCAUUUUGGGGUGGCUCAGCAGAUUAAGUAUCCAUCUAUAGUUUUUUUUUUCC